AUUGAACGCUGGCGGCAUGCCUAACACAUGCAAGUCGAGCGAGCAGCGGGCGGGUGAGGAAUGUCUGGGAAACUGCCUGAGGGAGGUGGAUAACUAAUGGAAACGGUAACUACUCCUGCGUACCAUCAGACGUGUCCCGAUGUGAUUAGCUAGUAGGUUGGGUAACGGCUCACCAAGGCGACGAUCCCUAGCUGGUCUGAGAGGAUGACCAGCCACACUGGAACUGAGACACGGUCCAGACUCCUACGGGAGGCAGCAGUGGGGAAUAUUGCACAAUGGGCGCAAGCCUGAUGCAGCCAUGCCGCGUGUGUGAAGAAGGCCUUCGGGUUGUAAAGCACUUUCGGCGGGGAGGCGGUACCCGCAGAAGAAGCACCGGCUAACUCCGUGCCAGCAGCCGCGGUAAUAC
rnacentral:rRNA from 1 species